rnacentral:rRNA from 1 species
CCUACGGGUGGCAGCAGUGAGGAAUAUUGGUCAAUGGACGAGAGUCUGAACCAGCCAAGUAGCGUGAAGGAUGACUGCCCUAUGGGUUGUAAACUUCUUUUAUAUGGGAAUAAAAUGUUCCACGUGUGGGAGUUUGUAUGUACCAUAUGAAUAAGGAUCGGCUAACUCCGUGCCAGCAGCCGCGGUAAUACGGAGGAUCCGAGCGUUAUCCGGAUUUAUUGGGUUUAAAGGGAGCGUAGGGGGAUUGUUAAGGCAGUUGUGAAAGUUUGGGGCUCAACCGCAAGAUUGCAGUUGAAACGGGCAGUCUUGAGUACAGGAGAGGUAGGCGGAAUUCGUGGUGUAGCGGUGAAAUGCGUAGAUAUCACGAAGAACUCCGAUUGCGAAGGCAGCUCACUGGACUGCAACUGACACUGAGGCUCGAAAGUGUGGGUAUCAAACAGGAUUAGAUACCCCGGUAGUC